CCUCUUUCCUCCCUGCCCGCCCCAGCAAUUGCCCCUCAACUUUCUGUCUCUGUGAACCCGAUUAUUCUACGAUCCUCAUCCUUGAGCUGCAUUGCAAAGGUCUCCAUAGUUCCCAGGCCCCAGGAAAGGGAGCACAAAGGCAGAAGAACGUUUACCUCUCCACUCUGUCACUGACUGAUGUCUCAUCUAGGACCUCCUCAAAGUGUUGUGCUCCCUCAGGCAAGGGGAUGCGAUGGCAGACCCUCACAGGCACCAGGCCACCCUUUGCCCUCCACAACUCAGCGCUGACACAUCAUUGGCUGCUGGACUGGCAUGGUGAGUCAGGCAUCUCUGCCUCCUGAGGGGAUUGCAAGCUGCACACUGGGAUGCUCUAGGUACCUGGAGCAGGGCAGGGCAAGAGGUUUGUCUCUGCUGAAUGGGCCACGUUGCCAGCCCAGCACAGAGACAGCUGCCAUCACGCCUUAUCACGAGAGACAGCAGGGCCCACAUGCCCAGACCCCUCCAGCCAGGGCGGGAAUGGCGGUGCCUGCUGGACAUGGGCAGGGAGGGGAAACUGGGAGAGACUAGGACACUACGAGUGAGGGGACGGGGCAGCUAAGGCCACAUCCCAAAGAGAUGGCAGAAGAUAGGAUAGUGCAUGGACUGAGGCCCCUGGCUACCAGCACAUGCUUCAUUGUCUUAUUGGCCUUUACUUACAUAAUACAGACUCGAAGAUAAAUUGGUUAAAAACCUCAUGCACCGCCACGUUCAUUACAGCAUUAUUUACAAUAGCCAAAAUAUGGAAAGAAGCUAAGUAUUCAUCAAUGGAUGAAAGGAUCAAGAACGUGUGGUGUAUAUAUAUACACAAUAGAAUAUCAUCCAGCUAUAAAAAAGAAAGAAUUCUUGCCAUUUGUGACAACAUGGAUGGGUCUGGAGGCCAUUAUGCUAAGAUAAAUAAGUCAGAGAAAGACAAAUACCGUAUGAUCUCAUUUAUCUGUGGAAUCAAAAAAUAACAACAACAGGGGCACCUGGGUGACUCAGUCAGUUAAGCUCCCGACU